GACGAACGCUGGCGGCGUGCUUAACACAUGCAAGUCGAACGGAAAGGCCCUGCUUUUGUGGGGUGCUCGAGUGGCGAACGGGUGAGUAACACGUGAGUAACCUGCCCUUGACUUUGGGAUAACUUCAGGAAACUGGGGCUAAUACCGGAUAGGAGCUCCUGCUGCAUGGUGGGGGUUGGAAAGUUUCGGCGGUUGGGGAUGGACUCGCGGCUUAUCAGCUUGUUGGUGGGGUAGUGGCUUACCAAGGCUUUGACGGGUAGCCGGCCUGAGAGGGUGACCGGCCACAUUGGGACUGAGAUACGGCGCAGACUCGUACGGGAGGCAGCAGUGGGGAAUAUUGCACAAUGGGCGGAAGCCUGAUGCAGCAACGCCGCGUGCGGGAUGACGGCCUUCGGGUUGUAAACCGCUUUCGACUGUGACGAAGCGUGAGUGACGGUAAUGGGUAAAGAAGCACCGGCUAACUACGUG
rnacentral:rRNA from 1 species